UUCUUUCUUCCUCUUCCAGGGUCAGGUCCUGGUGGUCCCUCUCUCCACCAACCCUUCCCAGUUCCUCCUGAGGUGCUCUCAGGCUGGAUGAGUCGUAUGUUCUCUCCAUCGUUCUGGGUCUACCACGUUUUCUACCAGUUGGACGUGCCUGGGAAGCUUUCAGGAAGCAUCCCAACCACAUGCCUGAACCACCCCAGAGGAGUAGCUCUCUCUUCACCCUGUCUCUGAGGCUGAGCCCAGACACCCUACAGAAGAAACCAAAUUUAUAUGCACCUGUUUCAUUUUGGCUCAGCGUGAGACUCUAUUGCGUUUUGUGGUCAUUCAUGGUUGUGAUUUUCUCCUUGUGUUUCACAUGUGUGCAUCUUAGCCCAGCACAGGUUGACAACUUGUCACAUUAAGCUAAAUAAAUCAUAGAUGGACAGAUGUCGACCCCCUGAUGUCCUGGCAUCAGCUACUCUGCAAGCCCCCCCUUCAGCUGCUGUGUGCAGCUGCACAGUGUAUGUAUGUCACUUCUCAACCACGUGUCAGUGGGUAAAGCAGAGAGACAACGUCAGACGUGUAGGUACAAAACCACCUCCAUCUCACUUCCUCUCAACUUAAGUGCUAUCGUUUACAGGAAGAUACAGCCUCUUUCCACCAAUGUGUAACUGUAUUUAUGAAAUCAAUGUUUUAUAAUCAUCAAUCAGUCACUUGUCUCAAAAUAAUUUAAUACAAAAACAAAAGCACAGAAUCUUCAUUGACCAAUGUUGCCCUCAUAUGCACAAAACAAAAGUUUGUCUGUCAGUGAAGGCAUCAUACAGGUCCUGAUGUCUUCAUUCAGAUUCUGGUCAGUUCCAGAUUUUAUCUCUGCCUUUCUUUACUUCAUGUUAAAACUGAAUGUCUCUGCUUUAUUGUAACUGAACAAAGAGACACAUAUCUGUCUCUGCAGAGGAAACCACAGCACCUCGGCCUCAGAGGAAGGAGGAGGGUUUUAUCUGAUGUGACCAUGAACUGAUCAGAGAGCAGCUCUAACAUCAGCACAGUGUCAGGAUGGAGGAAACGUCUCUGCUGUCACUGCUCUUUGUGAGCUCACUGCUGAUCUGCUCAACAAACCAAGCUCGUCUGACUGUGAGUCCCAGCAGAUCUCAGUUUUUUAAA